CAGAUAAUAGUUUAAUAAAAACGCUGGCCUUGGGUGCCAAAGAUCUCUCAUAGUGUUAUCUGA
rnacentral:tRNA from 1 species